rnacentral:rRNA from 1 species
CCUACGGGUGGCUGCAGUGAGGAAUAUUGGUCAAUGGGCGUAAGCCUGAACCAGCCAAGUCGCGUGAGGGACGACGGCCCUACGGGUUGUAAACCUCUUUUGCCGGGGUGCAAACGGCGGCACGCGUGCCGUCCUGAGGGUACCCGGAGAAAAAGCAUUGGCUAACUCCGUGCCAGCAGCCGCGGUAAUACGGAGGAUGCGAGCGUUAUCCGGAUUUACUGGGUGUAAAGGGAGCGUGGGCGGGAAAGCAAGUCAGGGGUAAAAACACCCGGCUAAACUGGUUGUCGCACGGAAAACUGGAGGUAGUGAGAGCAGUAGAGGCAGGCGGGAUUCCUAGUGUAGCGGUGAAAUGCGUAGAUAUAAGGAAGGAAACCAGUGGCGAAGGCGGCCUACUGGGCUUUUACUGACGCUGAGGCUCGAAAGCGUGGGGAGCAAACAGGAUUAGAUACCCCAGUAGUC